GCGGGUAUAGUUUAGUGGUAAAACACUAGUCUUCCAAACUGGUGAUGGGGGUUCGAUUCCCCCUACCCGCU
rnacentral:tRNA from 1 species